UCACUUUCAUAUUUCAGUGUCUUUGAUAGUCCCUUUUAAUAAAGCUACAUUUUGGACUCGCUAGUGAUACUGUCAAUUGCAUUGACUUAGUUUUAUUUAUAACAAUAGGUGGGCUAAGUAUGUCAUUAGAAUCGUCCUAUUGGCUAAUCGAACUGUCAGUUAACUGAAAAGUUUACGGUCGUCGUUUCUGUAUUUUGUUAUGUUGGUCAGUUUUGCUGUCAAUUUGUUGCGAACGUGAUAAUCGUAGUGUGAUGUUGUUAAAUUACGUUCGACCUGAAUAGAAACACACGUAUUCAAGAUGUUUCCGUGACAUCAAGAAAAGUACGUGUGACACACGCUGAGUAGUCAUUUACAUUUUACCUAAGCAUGACGAUGGCACUUGACACAAUGGCAAACUCGAAGCGCACAUUGAUAUGUGUAAGGUUAGCUAGCUUUCGCGUGAUGGAUAACAUUACCGAACGAUUCGACUUCAUGACUAGCUAGCUAACUUAGUUAGUUGCAUCACUAUCAUAGCCAACUUCGGGGAGAGCCGUACAAAACUGUCGAGCACAACAUCAUGGUGAAUAGGAGACGAGCCUGACAUGCCCACCGCUGAGGAGCGCCAGGAGAUGCUAGCUGCCAUUUGAAGCAAGCCCUUCUGAGCCACUGGCAAGACCAUGCAGAAGAAAACACUGGAGUGGUGUGUGGAUCACCCUUUCCAUUAAAGCUCUGGGACAGACACUUUAUGAAGAUCUGAGUAAUCCUCCACACACCUCACCAUUAUGAAAGCCGACCGUAGCCCAAGAGGUGCCUCUGCCGCUGCAGGCUGAUGAUGGCACUGGAAUCUGUCAAGUACCGAUAUCAAUUUUAAAACACUACAGUAUGCCCAGUGGUGUAGUGCUAUUUCUUUAGGUGCGGGAGCUUAUUUUUUUUGAUUAAUUGAGAAAAUGAUUGGCAUGCAGUUUGGACAUUAAUGGUAAGUAAUGUAUUAUGUCAUUUUGUCAUUUCACUUCAUUUCACAUUAUGUCAUUUCACUUAUGUUUCUAAACACUUCUACAUUAAUGUGGAUGCUACCAUGAUUACUGAUCAUCGUGAAUGAAGCGUGAAUAAUGAUGAGUGACAAAGUUAGAUGCACAAAUAUCAUACACCCCCCCCAAAAUAAAAUGCUAACCUCACAUUAUUGUAAUAGUGAGAGGUUAGCAUGUCUUGGGGGUAUAAUAUUUGUGCCUCUUAACUUCCUCACUCAUCAUUAUUCACGACUUAUUCAGGACUACCCGUAAUUAUGAUAGCAUCCACAUUCAGGUAGAAGGAUCUUCUGUUACGGCAGCACUACAUUCCUGAGUAUGCCUAAUGCCACAUUCUAGCUAUGAAUGCGCAUCACAGGAGGCUGCUGAGGGGAGGAUGGCUCAUAAUAAUGUAUUGAAUGGCGCUAAUGGUAUUGAAAUCAUGUUUGAUACCAUUCUGCUCCAGCCAUUACCACAAGCCCGUCCUCCCCAAUUAAGGUGCCACCAACCUCCUGUGAAGUGGAUAGUUGGUUAGUAUUUGUGGAGCUGUAUGGCGAAGCACUGCACGAUGCAAGUUGCCUUGAUUCAAGUGUGUUAAUAGUUUUUCAAGAAAGAACUGAAGACUAUGGACUUACUCGCCUUUGUUUGCAAACCUUGCCAGCAUCUCUAAAAUAAACUUUAUGUUUAUUUGUGAAAAGUGAUUUUAUUUAUUAACAUAUUGGCACCUAGCCUGGUCCCAGAUCUGUAUGUGCUUUAGCCAACAUCUAUGACUUGUUGUUAUGCUGUACAGUCUAACUUUGUUGCAUUGUAAGUGUCUAUUCUAUUGGACACUCUUAAAUUAAUGAGCGCAAGAAGUAGCGUGGACCUUUCUCGAAUUCAAUACACCUAUGCAACUACAGUGUUUACACCAUCACAUACACUGAGUGUACACAACAUUAUGAACACCUGCUCUUUCCAUGGCAUAGACUGACCAGGUGAAUCCAGGUGAAAGCUAUGAUCCCUUAUUGAUGUCACUUCUAUCAGUGUAGAUGGAAGGGAGGAGAUAAUAGAGACCUGGAUUGUGUAUGUGUGCCAUUCAGAGGGUGAAUGGGCAAGACAAAAGAUUUGUGCCUUUGAAAGGGGUAUGGUAGUAGGUGCCAGGUGCACCGGUUUGUGUCAAGAACUGCAACGCUGCUGGGUUUUUCAUGCUCAACAGUUUCUUCUGUGUAUCAAAAAUGGUCCACCACACAAAGGACAUCCAGCCAACUUGCCACAACUGUGGGAGGCAUUGGAGUCAACAUGGGCCAGCGUCCCUGUGGAACGCUUUCGACAUGUACUCUAGGGCACAUACAGAUCUGAAACCAUGGUAAUUUGGACCCCAAAGUGAAAAUAUUGUACUUGGUACUGAUUGUUUCAAGUGUAUGCAUUAUGUAAGGUAAUAAUAGCCUAUGACUUGAUACAAUAAAACACUUGAAAAGCU